GACGAACGCUGGCGGCGUGCUUUACACAUGCAAGUCGAACGGUGACCUCGGAGCUUGCUCCGGGCGAUCAGUGGCGAACGGGUGAGUAACACGUGAGUAACCUGCCCCACACUCUGGGAUAACUCCGGGAAACCGGUGCUAAUACUGGAUACGAACCGCACGGGCAUCCGUAGCGGUUGGAAAGUUUUUCGGUGAGGGAUGGACUCGCGGCCUAUCAGCUAGUUGGUGGAGUAAUAGCCCACCAAGGCGACGACGGGUAGCCGGCCUGAGAGGGCGACCGGCCACACUGGGACUGAGACACGGCCCAGACUCCUACGGGAGGCAGCAGUGGGGAAUAUUGCACAAUGGGCGAAAGCCUGAUGCAGCGACGCCGCGUGAGGGAUGACGGCCUUCGGGUUGUAAACCUCUUUCAGUAGGGAAGAAGCGAAAGUGACGGUACCUACAGAAGAAGCACCGGCUAACUACGUGCCAGCCGCCGCCGUAA
rnacentral:rRNA from 1 species